rnacentral:rRNA from 1 species
AUUGAACGCUGGCGGCAUGCCUUACACAUGCAAGUCGAACGGCAGCACGGGAGCAAUCCUGGUGGCGAGUGGCGAACGGGUGAGUAAUAUAUCGGAACGUGCCCGGUCGUGGGGGAUAACGUAGCGAAAGCUACGCUAAUACCGCAUACGAUCUAUGGAUGAAAGCGGGGGAUCGCAAGACCUCGCGCGAUUGGAGCGGCCGAUAUCAGAUUAGGUAGUUGGUGGGGUAAAGGCUCACCAAGCCAACGAUCUGUAGCUGGUCUGAGAGGACGACCAGCCACACUGGAACUGAGACACGGUCCAGACUCCUACGGGAGGCAGCAGUGGGGAAUUUUGGACAAUGGGCGCAAGCCUGAUCCAGCAAUGCCGCGUGCAGGAUGAAGGCCUUCGGGUUGUAAACUGCUUUGUACGGAACGAAACGGUGAGCUCUAAUACAGUUUGCUAAUGACGGUACCGUAAGAAUAAGCACCGGCUAACUACGUG